rnacentral:rRNA from 1 species
GUCUAUGGUCAUGCCACCCUGAAUGUGCCUGAUCUCGUCUGAUCUCAUAAGCUUAGCAGGGUCAGGCCUCGUUAGUACUUGGAUGAGAGACCCCAUAGGAAUACCAGGUGCUGUAGGCA